UACAGAGGGGGCAAGCGUUGUUCGGAAUUACUGGGCGUAAAGGGCGCGUAGGCGGAUCGCUAAGUCAGGGGUGAAAUCCCAGGGCUCAACCCUGGAACUGCCUUUGAUACUGACGAUCUGGAGAUCGGGAGAGGUUGGUGGAAUUCCGAGUGUAGAGGUGAAAUUCGUAGAUAUUCGGAGGAACACCAGAAGCGAAGGCGGCCAACUGGCCCGAUACUGACGCUGAGGCGCGAAAGCGUGGGGAGCAAACAGG
rnacentral:rRNA from 1 species